rnacentral:rRNA from 1 species
AACGAACGCUGGCGGCAGGCUUAACACAUGCAAGUCGAACGCACCUUUCGUGGUGAGUGGCAGACGGGUGAGUAACGCGUGGGAAUCUACCCUUCUCUACGGGAUAGCUCCGGGAAACUGGAAUUAAUACCGUAUACGUCCUGAGGGAGAAAGAUUUAUCGGGGAAGGAUGAGCCCGCGUUGGAUUAGCUAGUUGGUGGGGUAAAGGCCUACCAAGGCGACGAUCCAUAGCUGGUCUAAGAGGAUGAUCAGCCACAUUGGGACUGAGACACGGCCCAAACUACUACGGGAGGCAGCCGUGGGGAAUAUUGGAAAAUGGGCGCAAGCCUGAUCCAGCCAUGCCGCGUGAGUGAUGAAGGCCCUAGGGUUGUAAAGCUCUUUCAGUCGGGACGAUAAUGACGGUACCCACAGAAGAAGCCCCGGCUAACUUCGUG